UACGAAGGGGGCUAGCGUUGCUCGGAAUUACUGGGCGUAGAGGGCGCGUAGGCGGAUAUUUAAGUUGGGGGUGAAAUCCCGGGGCUCAACCUCGGAAUUGCCUUCAAAACUGGAUAUCUUGAGUUCGGGAGAGGUGAGUGGAACUCCGAGUGUAGAGGUGAAAUUCGUAGAUAUUCGGAGGAACACCAGUGGCGAAGGCGGCUCACUGGUCCGGUACUGACGCUGAGGUGCGAAAGCGUGGGGAGCAAACAGG
rnacentral:rRNA from 1 species